AUGGUCUCAUGGGAAUUUAAUAAGAGAUCUGGCCUGCCCCCUGCUAAAGUUAAGGGCUGCAGUAUUUUGACUGUACAAAGGUAGCACAAUCAUUAGUCUUUUAAUUGUGGACUCGUAUGAAGGGUUGAACAAAUAACGAUUGUUUAGAGCCUGAGGUUUGAAGUUAGUAUUUCUGUACAAAGACAGAAAUUUUCUUAAAAGACAAGAAGACCCUUUUAAACUUUACGAAUAGUUGAUUUAUUUAUUUUUAUUACGGGUGUAGUGAGUUUUAUAUUAGUUUGGCUGGGGCGGCAGAUUUACAACAAAAUUAUUAACAGACAAGUUGAGUGGACGUUGGUGUGAGCCUUAUAUUGGGCUUAUAAAAUAAGUUACUAGAGGGAUAACAGCGUAAUGUGUUUUAAGAGUUCUUAUUGACAAAUGUGUUUGCGA
rnacentral:rRNA from 1 species